rnacentral:rRNA from 1 species
GACGAACGCUGGCGGCGUGCUUAACACAUGCAAGUCGAACGGAAAGGCCUGCUUUUGUGGGGUGCUCGAGUGGCGAGCGGGUGAGUAACACGUGAGUAACCUGCCCUUGACUUUGUGAUAACUUCAGGAAACUGGGGCUAAUACCGGAUAGGAGCUCCUGCUGCAUGGUGGGGGUUGGAAAGUUUCGGCGGUUGGGGAUGGACUCGCGGCUUAUCAGCUUGUUGGUGGGGUAGUGGCUUACCAAGGCUUUGACGGGUAGCCGGCCUGAGAGGGUGACCGGCCACAUUGGGACUGAGAUACGGCCCAGACUCCUACGGGAGGCAGCAGUGGGGAAUAUUGCACAAUGGGCGGAAGCCUGAUGCAGCAACGCCGCGUGCGGGAUGACGGCCUUCGGGUUGUAAACCGCUUUCGCCUGUGACGAAGCGUGAGUGACGGUAAUGGGUAAAGAAGCACCGGCUAACUACGUG